GAAUGUCUACAUUUUAAGAUUAGAUCUCAAAUCAGGUAGGACUACCCGCUGAACUUAAGCAUAUCAAUAAGCGGAGGAAAAGAAACUAACAAGGAUUCCCCUAGUAGCGGCGAGCGAAGCGGGAAGAGCUCAAAUUUAUAAUCUGGCACCUUCGGUGUCCGAGUUGUAAUCUCUAGAAAUGUUUUCCGCGUUGGACCGCACACAAGUCUGUUGGAAUACAGCGGCAUAGUGGUGAGACCCCCGUAUAUGGUGCGGACGCCCAGCGCUUUGUGAUACAUUUUCGAAGAGUCGAGUUGUUUGGGAAUGCAGCUCAAAUUGGGUGGUAAAUUCCAUCUAAAGCUAAAUAUUGGCGAGAGACCGAUAGCGAACAAGUACCGUGAGGGAAAGAUGAAAAGCACUUUGGAAAGAGAGUUAACAGUACGUGAAAUUGUUGGAAGGGAAACGCUUGAAGUCAGACUUGCUUGCCGAGCAAUCGGUUUGCAGGCCAGCAUCAGUUUUCCGGGAUGGAUAAUGGUAGAGAGAAGGUAGCAGUUUCGGCUGUGUUAUAGCUCUCUGCUGGAUACAUCUUGGGGGACUGAGGAACGCAGUGUGCCUUUGGCGGGGGUUUCGACCUCUCACACUAGGAUGCUGAA
rnacentral:rRNA from 1 species